CGAACGGAUCUUCGGAUUAGUGGCGGACGGGUGAGUAACGCGUGAGAAUCUGCCUACAGAAGGGGAUAACGUCGGGAAACUGACGCUAAUACCGAAUGAGCCGAAGGUAAAAGAUUUAUGUCUGUAGAUGAGCUCGCGUCUGAUUAGCUAGUUGGAGGGUAAGCCACCAAGGCGACGAUCAGUAACUGGUCUGAGAGGAUGACCAGUCACACUGGGACUGAGACACGGCCCAGACUCCUACGGGAGGCAGCAGUGGGGAAUUUUCCGCAAUGGGCGCAAGCCUGACGGAGCAAACCGCGUGCGGGAGGAAGCUUUUUGGAGUGUAAACCGCUUUUCUCAGGGAAGUGACGGUACCUGAGGAAUCAGCAUCGGCUAACUUCGUGCCAGCAGCCGCGGUAAUACGAGGGAUGCAAGCGUUAUCCGGAAUUAUUGGGCGUAAAGCGUUCGUAGGUGGCUAGUUAGUCUGUCGUUAAAGUGAGCUUAACUCAUAUCGGCGAUGGAAACUGGGCUAGAGUUGGUAGGGGUAAGAGGAAUUCCCAGUGUAGCGGUGAAAUGCGUAGAUAUUGGGAAGAACACCAGCGGCGAAAGCGUCUUACUGGGCCAUACUGACACUGAGGGACGAAAGCUAGGGGAGCGAAAGGGAUUAGAUACCCCUG
rnacentral:rRNA from 1 species